rnacentral:rRNA from 1 species
AGUAAAAGUCGUAACAAGGUUUCCGUAGGUGAACCUGCGGAAGGAUCAUUAACGAGUUUUGAAACGGGUUGUUGCUGGCCUUCCGAGGCAUGUGCACGCCCUGCUCAUCCACUCUACACCUGUGCACUUACUGUAGGUUGGCGUGGGUUUCUAGCCUCCGGGUUGGAAGCAUUCUGCCGGCCUAUGUACACUACAAACUCUUAAAGUAUCAGAAUGUAAACGCGUCUAACGCAUCUUAAUACAACUUUCAGCAACGGAUCUCUUGGCUCUCGCAUCGAUGAAGAACGCAGCGAAAUGCGAUAAGUAAUGUGAAUUGCAGAAUUCAGUGAAUCAUCGAAUCUUUGAACGCACCUUGCGCUCCUUGGUAUUCCGAGGAGCAUGCCUGUUUGAGUGUCAUGAAAUUCUCAACCCAUAAAUCCUUGUGAUCUAUGGGCUUGGAUUUGGAGGCUUGCUGGCCCUAGCGGUCGGCUCCUCUUGAAUGCAUUAGCUUGAUUCCGUGCGGAUCGGCUCUCAGUGUGAUAAUUGUCUACGCUGUGACCGUGAAGCGUUUUGGCAAGCUUCUAACCGUCCAUUAGGACAAUUUUAUAACAUCUGACCUCAAAUCAGGUAGGACUACCCGCUGAACUUAAGCAUAUCAAUAAGCGGAGGA